rnacentral:rRNA from 1 species
AUGGAAGAUAGGGUCAAAUGCAUCCUCUUACUCCUUGGAGAGGAAGCAGAUUCUUUCGCAAAGAGGGCAGAAAUGUAUUACAAGAGGCGACCAGAGGUGAUCAGCUCCGUGGAAGAAGCGUACCGGGCAUACAGAGCCCUUGCAGAACGCUAUGACCACAUGUCAGGAGAGCUACACAAAGCAAACCACACUGUUGCAACUGCCUUCCCUGACCAGGUUCAGUAUUCUAUGCUCGAAGAGGAUGAUGACAGUCUCCCGAAAGCAUUCACGGCGGUUGAUCCUCGUAAAAUCCACAAAUCAACGGUGGAGGGGCUGAUGAAUAAGAAGAAAGGAAGGAAACCAGGACAGAAAGAUGGAGGAAAGAAUUGUGCAGCUCCAGUCAACAAGGAGAAUGCGCAAAAGGAGAUCAGCAGGAUGCAGAAAGAGAUAUUGGUGCUGCAGACUGAGAAAGAGUUCAUCAAGAGCUCUUACGAGAGUGGAAUCGCAAAGUACUGGGAUCUUGAAAAGCAAAUCAAUGACAUGCAUGAAGAAGUCUGCUACUUCCAGGAGGAGUUCAACGAAAGCGCUGUGAUUGAAGAUGAUGAGGCGAGAGCUUUGAUGACAGCGAGUGCCCUUAAAUCUUGUGAAGACGCCAUUGCCAGACUGCGGGAGCAGCAGAAGCUCUCGUUCAGCCAAGCAAUGGUUGAGCUGGAAAGGGCCAGUGUUUCCAGAGAGAAACUGAAGAACAUCAUGAAAGAGCAUGGUAAAUUCCUGUCGGAUUCAGGAAAUUCUCUUUACGAGAAUGUGAGAAAUGAUGCCACCGUUAAGAUGGAUGAUCUGUACUCUAUGAAGCAGGAGAAAAUUGGAAUAGAAGCAAUAGUAGAUAAGAUCAAGGAAUACUUUCAGAAAGACACUGAUAUUUCUGUGGCAGAGAUUGCAGAGAGAAUUGAUGACAUGGUCAAUAAAGUUGUGGACUUGGAACUCAUGGUUUCAUCACAGACUGCUAAGAUAGAUAGGCUGUGUCUGGAAAACACAGAGCUGGAGAUAUCACUCCAGGAACUGGAGGGAGAGCAGGCAGUAGUAAACAGUGGUUCAGGUGAAUUGAAUGACAAGCUAGAGAAGGCAGAAGAUGAGCUGAUGAGAGUGCAGUACCUUGAGAGCUCCUUCCAUGCAGAGGAAAGCAUAGUCUAUUCAAAUUUCGCUGAAACCGCAAGUAGCUUUUGUUGUAUUACAGACUUAUUGCAGUCACCUCCUGUUGAGCACCAAGCUGGUUCUGCGCCCAGGCUGACUCAUGAAGCGACACCAUCCGCUGACACUGCAUCAUCUGGCAAGUGCGAGAAAACAGAACCUGAAGAAGAUCCUCAGAUGGAUAAACCUACAACAAAGCCUGACAUGGAUGGGGUCCCUGAUAGUUCUGGUAAAUUGGAGCUAGCUACGAUCAGCGAUAACUGUCACCAUGACAUCAAGGAAGAAAGGCAAUACUGCGCAGAUGAUUUGGAGGAUUUGUGGGAUUGCGGGCUUGAAAGAAAGUCGAGCUUUGCAGAUGCAUCGGUAAAUAAGGAAACAGCAGAAAAUGUUAUUACAGGUAUGUUGCAGACACCUCUUACUGAGCACCAAGCUGGUUGUGUGCCCACACUGGCUGAUGAAGCAACACCACCCGCUGACACCGAACCAUCUGGCGAGUAUGAGAAAAUAAAACCAGAAGAAGAUCCUCUAAUGGAUAAAGCUACAAGAAAGCCUGACAUAGAUGGACUCCCUGAUUGUUCCAGUAAGUUGGAGCUAGCUACAGUCAGUGACAACUCUCACCAGUCUAACUGUUACAAUGACAUUAAGGCAGAAAGGCAUGACUGCACAGAUGAUUUGGAGGAUUUAUGGGAUUGUGGGUUUGAAAGAAAUUCUAGCUUUGCAGUUGCAUCAGUAAAUAAGGAAACAGCUGAAAAUGCAGGCAGUGAUACUACAGAUAUGUUGCAGUCACCUCUCACCGAGCACCAAGUUGGUUAUGUGCCCACAAUGACUGAUGAAGCAACACCACUCGCUGACUCCAAACCAUCUGGCAAGUGUGAAAAAAUAAAACCAGAGGAAGAUAAUCAGAUGGAUAACGAUACACAAAAGCUUGACAUAGAUGGAUUCCUGGAUUGGUGUGGUAAGCCAGAGAUAGCUAUCAUCAGUGCUGAUUCAGAGAAUUUGUGGCAGUUUGAGCUUGACGGUGAAUCUAGCUUUGCAGCUGCAUCAGUAGAUAAUGGAACAGCAGAAAAUGCAGAUAACAGUACAUCUGGUGAACAUAACAAUGCAGAAGUGAAAUAUAAUCAUGGAGCCAUUGGCAGCAACAUGCAACCAUAUGUUGUACAUUCUCAUGAGCAAGGUUCGGUAGAUCGAUUGCAUCAAAGUUCACCUGAAGCCCCAUGGGAUCACGACCUAAAACAAGUGGAUGGCAAGCAAGAUUCAUCGACAGUGGAUCAUAGCAUUUUUGGAGGCCACUUGGAACAAGAUAUGAACAUAGAAGAACGGUUAGAAGACUCGCAUUUCACUGAAAAUUUCACUCCUGGCAAUGGAAAAGCUGUUGGUGUUGGAGAUCAAGAGAACAACAUGGCUAAUAUGCAGCAAUUGCAUAUGAGUGGACUCCAAGACAAGAAAAUGGUACUAUUAACCGAGUGCAAGGAAAAAGAAUCAGAAGAAGAUCCUCAGAUGGAUAAAGCUACAAGGAAGCCUGAAAUAUAUGAAUUCCCUGACUUUUCCAGUAACUUGGAGCUAGUAAACAGCAAUGACAACAGGCAGCCAUCUAACAGUUACCAAGAAAUUAUGGCAGAAAAGCAUGACAGUGUGGGUGAUUCAGAGGAUUUGUGGUAUUGUGGGCUUGAGAGAAAAUCUAGCUUUGCAGUUGCAACGGUAAAUAAGGAGAAGGCAGAAAAUAUAGACAAUUACGCAUUUGGUGAACAUAACAAUGGCAUCAGCAUGCAACCCUAUGUUGUUCAUUCCCAUGAGCAGGGAUCAUUAGAUCGAUUGCAUCACAUUUCAUCUGAAGUCCCAGGAGAUCAUCAUGCGAAGUUAGAGGAUGACAAGCAAGAUUCAUCAACAGCGGGCCAUAGCAUUUCCAAAGGCCACUAUGAACAAGAGAUGAAGAAAGCAGAAGAGUCAGAAGACACACAUGGCACUGAAAAUUCAAUUCCUGGCAGUGAAAUUGCUGUUGUUGUUAGAGAUCAAGAGGAGAACAUGGCUAAUCUGCAGAAAUUGCUUAUGAGUGGACUCCAAGACAAGGAAAAGGUACUACUGACCGAGUACACUUCUAUCCUCCGAAAUUACAAAAAUGCAAAGAGAAGGCUUACAGAAGUGGAGAUAAAGAAUCAGGAAUGUUUGGAUGAGAUGAAAGCCAUGAUGAGCGAACUACGCUCUGCCAAUGAAUUGAAGGAUAAGGAGAUUCGGUCACUACGUGAACUCCUGAACACUUCUACUGUCAAAGAUGCACAUCAGAAUGGCCAUCAAAUGAAUACAUACACGUCCUUGAGUAUCAAGAGUGGGUCCUUCAGGGGGCACCGAAGGAUCCCAAGCUUUUUGCCAGGUCAUCAAAGGAGAGAAAGUGCUUCUUCCAUUUCGAGGAUAAUCAUGAAGAAUUCUAGCCCGAAGAACAAAGAUGAUGCAUCACAUGAUGCUGUUUUUCAGGCAGAAAGAAUCGGUAUGGGUGACAUCAGAUUAACUAAUAUUCUUGAGAUGCAGAACGCCUCACCUCUUGAGGACAAGUUCAGAAGAGACAUCGAUGGGCUUUUGGAGGAGAACCUAGACUUCUGGAUGAAGUUCAGCACAUCAUUCGAAAAGAUUCUAGAAUUGCAGACCAAGCAUGAUCAGCUUCAAUCAGAGAUUGGCAAGCGAACAAACGCGGACAGGCUCAAGGAAAACAGCGGUGGCACAAGUGAUCCUCGUGCAGAAGCUGAACCCGAAACCAUAGAGAAGCGGCUACGGGAACUUAAGAUUGAAAUGCAAGUAUGGCUGGAACAGAAUGCGAUGUUCAAAGGGGAGCUCCAGUGCAGGUUUGCUUCCCUGUGCAGUAUACAAGAGGAAAUCCAGGCAGCAAUGGAGAUGGAUGCAGAGACUGUGGAAGGAAUCCAAUUCACUUCAUACCAUGCUGCCAAAUUCCAAGGGGAGAUCUUGAGCAUGAAGCAGGAGAACGACAAGGUUGCGGAUGAACUGCAGGCUGGCUUAGAUUAUAUAAGAGGCCUACAAGAAGAAGUCGAAAAGAUCCUGGCAAAGAUACUGAAGAGCACCAGCUUAUCUGGGUCGAAAGGCAGCAGCCCUUGGAGGAAUGCACCCUCUAAGUCACGAGUGCCGCUCCGGUCGUUCCUGUUUCCAGCCAAGAAAAAGAAACCAUCCCUGCUGGCAUGCAUGAAUCCAGCACUUCAGAAGCAGUACAGUGACAUGGCAUUCUUUGCUAAAAUGGAAUAG